rnacentral:lncRNA from 1 species
CAGAGCUAGACUGCAGAAGAAAAAGAGAAAGAGAGGGGAGAAGAGGUCAAGUGUGGAAACAGCAAGAAGGCUGCUGUCUGCAAGCCAAGAAGAGAGCCCUCGCCAGAAACCAAAUUAUCCAGACCCUGGAUAUUGGAUUUCCAGCCUCCAGAAUGCUCCUUGAGGUGCAACUGCAUUACAUUUCUACUGACCAGUACUGUGCCAGAUUGAUGACCAGCCAAUACUUGAGUGUUUAUGAUAUGGCAGCAGCUGUUUAACCACCUAAAAGUACUGUAGACCUAGCAUACCCACACUUCCUAUAAGAAAGAUACGGCUAAGACCGCAGGCAUGGUG